rnacentral:rRNA from 1 species
GUGGGGAAUAUUGGACAAUGGGCGAAAGCCUGAUCCAGCCAUGCCGCGUGUGUGAAGAAGGUCUUCGGAUUGUAAAGCACUUUAAGUUGGGAGGAAGGGCAGUAAGUUAAUACCUUGCUGUUUUGACGUUACCUACAGAAUAAGCACCGGCUAACUUCGAGCCAGCAGCCGCGGUAAUACGAUGGGUGCAAGCGUUAAUCGGAAUUACUGGGCGUAAAGCGCGCGUAGGUGGUUUUGUAAGUUGGAGGUGAAAUCCCCGGGCUCAACCAGGGAACUGCCUCCAAAACUGCAUGACUAGAGUACGGUAGAGGGUAGUGGAAUUUCCUGUGUAGCGGUGAAAUGCGUAGAUAUAGGAAGGAACACCAGUGGAGAAGGCGACUACCUGGACUGAUACUGACACUGAGGUGCGAAAGCGUGGGGAGCAAACAGGAUUAGAUACCCUUGUAGUCC